CACGUAGGGCGCGAGCGUUGUCCGGAAUUAUUGGGCGUAAAGAGCUCGUAGGCGGCCUGUUGCGUCCGCUGUGAAAGCCCGGGGCUUAACCCCGGGUCGGCAGUGGAUACGGGCAGGCUAGAGGUAGGUAGGGGAGAAUGGAAUUCCCGGUGUAGCGGUGAAAUGCGCAGAUAUCGGGAGGAACACCUGUGGCGAAGGCGGUUCUCUGGGCCUUACCUGACGCUGAGGAGCGAAAGCGUGGGGAGCGAAACAGG
rnacentral:rRNA from 1 species